UUAUUUCGUGCUUCUUUCUUUCAACAAUGAACCCUCUCACUCAGUCUGUCUAGUCCCAAACAAACAGUUGAAAUUUUACUUGUAUUUGAUCGUAUUUCCUUGACUUGUUUCAUUCCAGAUUUACAUCGCAUCACGUAGUUGUUAUCUCCUCAAUCGGUUCUUUGAGCAACAUCAGGGGAACAAUGCAGAGUCACGAAGCAGUAAUAAUUGGGGGAAUGGUGCUGGACAUUCAUGCCAUACCUUCAAUCCAUGCAAACCCAGGAACUACUACCCCUGGCAAGGUCUAUUAUUUCCGAGGAGGUGUUGCAAGGAAUAUAGCAGAGUGCAUGUCAAAGCUUGGAGCAAAGCCAUUCAUGAUUAGUGCUAUCGGUUCUGACAUGGCUGGAAAUCUAUUAUGGGAACAUUGGAAGUCGGCUGAUCUAUCUACAGAAGGAAUUUUGAAGGAUAAAGAUAUUGAUACUCCAGUUGUGUGCAAUAUAUUCGAUGUUAAUGGCGAGGUAGCAGCUGCUGUUGCUAGUGUGGAAGCUCUGGAAAAAUGUCUGACACCUGACUGGAUCCUGCACUUCAAGCACACUUUACUUUCUGCUCCAAUGUUAAUGGUUGAUGCAAAUCUGAGUUGUACUUCCCUCGAAGCUUCUUGUAAAAUGGCAGCUGACACAGGGUGUCCAGUCUGGUUUGAGCCAGUGUCAGUUACUAAAUCCCGAAGAAUCACCUCUAUUGCCAAGUAUGUAACUUUUGCUUCUCCAAAUGAAGAUGAACUUGUUGCAAUGGCAAAUGCUUUAUCUGGCAGUGAUGUGUUCCGUCCACUGAAAGAAAACCAUAAUAAAGAUAACUUUUCAACAUUAUCUUUGUUUCAAAUGUUGAAACCAGCAGUGUGGGUUCUGCUAGAAAAAGGCAUUAAAGUGGUCCUAGUGACCUUAGGCUCAAAUGGAGUGUUUUUAUGUAGUAAAGGAGGGCCAAGCUGCUUUAAAGUUCCUGUAGAGAAAACAAAUCAGGGUGGUUUUGGUGGACAGUUAUACAAGACUGUUAUGCAAAAGUGUCCACCUAAUAGUUAUUCUGUUUUUUCAGAACUUGAAAGAAGCUCUCAUGUCUUUGCUGUGCAUUUUCCGUCACUUCCUGCUUCAGUCGUAAGGCUUACGGGGGCUGGUGAUUGCUUAGUUGGUGGAAUACUAACAUCAAUUUGUGCAGGAUUAGAUAUUAUGCAAAGUGUGUCUGUUGGCACUGCUGUGGCUAAAGCUGCUGUUGAGGUUGAGGCAAAUGUUCCUUCUGCUUUCAACUUAGCUGCUAUUGCAGGUUAGCAUCCGUGAUAACAAAUCAUUUCACGUCGUAUAUUUUUGUGAUCGGAGACCUUGCAGCAUGCUGGACUUGAAUCUGUUUGACAAAAGCAUAAUUCAGCUGAAGCCAAAUAAGUAUUUUUGAAUUCUCAAGCAAAUUGCAUAAGAAAUGAUGCUAAAUCUGUGUUAAGUGGUGCCAAAGUGCUCUUCCACCAAUCAAUGCUGUAAAUUUUUGAAUGAGGAUCACAUUUGAUGAACAGCUUGAGCCGUGAUAUAACAACCUCCAUUGGCCGAGGGGAAAAAUAAAUAUGGUACCUCAUCCCAAGGUUUUAUGGCAUUGACGUAGGAGAAACUCUUUGGAAUUUUCAGAAUCUACACAUUUAUCUAAAGGAGUUUAAUUAAUCUGCAAUGUUUUGCAUUGGACACACGGACAUGUUAGUAUACUCAAUUAGUUCACUAACAUUAUAUGAGAGGUACCAUCGGGUUUUGAUUUAUUCACAUCAUACUUUCUCGUUCUA